rnacentral:rRNA from 1 species
AUAUUGGACAAUGGGCGAAAGCCUGACCCAGCCAUUCCGCGUGGAUGAUGACGGCCCUAGGGUUGUAAAGUUCUUUCGCCGGGUUAGAUAAUGACGGUACCCGUAAAAGAAGCCCCGGCUAACUUUGUGCCACAUGCCGCGGUAAUACGAAGGGGUCUAGCGUUGCUCGGAAUCACUGGGCGUAAAGCGCACGUAGGCGGCUUUUUGAGUCAGGGGUGAAAUCUUGGAGCUCAACUCCAGAACUGCCGUUGAUACUGGAGAGCUUGAGUUCGGGAGAGGUGAGUGGGACUGCGAGUGUAGAGGUGAAAUUCGUAGAUAUUCGCAAGAACACCAGUGGCGAAGGCGGCACACUGGCCCGAUACUGACGCUGAGGUGCGAAAGCGUGGGGAGCAAACAGG